UAAAAAUCGUUUUCAAACAUAAAGUCUUUUUAAUAGAAGAUAAUUUUCUGUUGAGAAAUAAUCCAUCGUAUUUCACAUCCGAUUUUUACUUAUUUCCGAAUUAUACGAAAUUUAAAAUUAAAACGAAAUAUUGGCCAUUUAUAGUAAUGAUUUAAAUUGUUUAACAUAAAAUUUUCGACGUAAUAAGUGAUGCAUUUGUUACGACGUCAUACAUCAUUAACAAUAGUUUUCAAUUGUUCUUUAUUUUAUUGUUUGUUGCCAAAAAUGAAGAGAAGGUCUUUCUGAAAAUUUUGAUUGUUUUUCUCUUUAUUUCGAAACCUUCCUCAGAAUUUUGAUUUGGUUACAUGUGUUAAAAAUAUUUUACAAGAAUAUCACUUUUUGGAUUGUGUUGCUUCAAGAUCGAGUUUUCUUUUGACAUUUCUUCCUCGCGACACUAGAAAGAAGAAUCUCAGGCUUACAAGAUAAUAUUUUCUCCGAAAAAAUAAUUCGCACUGGAAGUAACAUUUGACAGUAUAAGUUAGAAAAAAAGAUUUCUAUAAUGAUGAAUUCGGUUUCUGGACCGAAGACUAAAUGGCAGCAGCUAAGUAGCCGAUUUGUAAGAGGAUAUUGCAAGAAAUGAAUGGUAAUGCUGGCUGAAGCAAUAAUGAAAAAGAUUUUUGUUCUGAUUAUAGAAUUUCCAGGCUAGAAGAAACUUAAUAAUUAUCAUUGCAAAUAAGUUGAAAGAAAUAGUAAUUGUUUCCUUAUCUAAUUAUAAACAAUUUAUAUACCUGUAACCACGAACUUCAUAUGCAAUGUGCAAACAGGGUUCUGAAAAUGUGACAAGUCUUAAAAGCCACUAAUUAUAAACUAAGAUAGAAAAAUUAUAACAAGUAAACAACAAAAGUCUUUCCAUUAAACAAAAUGUUUAUUUCUGUUUUAAAGUUCACUGAUUUCUCACUUAUGAGUCGUUUUUCACUGGUCCUGGCUGAAGCCUAUGGGAGUUAAAGUCUAAAAUCUCCCAUUUGAACGAUUCUCAGUUUUAUACACUUACAUAUAUUUCAGACUAGUGUAUUUUUUCCUCUCUUUACUGUUGUGAUUGUCAAUCACAAGAACAGAGUGGAGUCACUUUGCCACGGGUCAAACAGGUAUCCAGGAAGAUAAAAGAGCAGAGAGAAUUAAAAAGUUAUAAAGUAAAAUUUGUAAGCAUUAUUUUGUUAUUUUUUAAUUACUCAAAUUAAAUAUUUGAUCCGCAAUAUGGAUUUAAUAAAUUUCUAAUUUAAUUUUGACCUAUUUUCGAAAAUGUUUGCCUUUUAAUAAGUAAUGCUUCCAUGCAAGUGGAAACAUUACAGAGAUUGUUGCCUAGCAAGCAGUUAGCAGUUAUGAACGAAAGCAAAACAAUUGUGGUUCAAAUUUAAUUGUAUUUAAAAUGCAUAAUACUUUAUCAACUGAGUGUCAAACAACGACCAGACAUGGAAAUGAGUCUCCCAAAAAUUUCAUGCAAGAUUAGUAACAGUUUACGAUGCUGGAACUGUGGACAAAGCUAAUGAUUUCUCAACAUGACUACUCUAGAACUACCUACUGCUUUCAUGUCAGAAGCCAUACAGAAACUGGUGUUUGAAGUUCUUGACAGUCCUCCUUACAGCCUAGAUUUGGCACCUUCAGACUUUUGGUCGAUUUCUAUUCUGAAGAGACGUCUCAAAGGAAUUGAUUUCGUCUGUGACGAUAUUCAAGCCGCCACGAGGAAAUGGUUUAGAGAACAACCUGAAGAUUUCUACAGAGAUGAGUUUGAAAACUGGUUAAACAUUAGAGUACCUGAAACAUUAGAGUAUCGAACACGAAAGAGACUAUCUAGAGAAAUGAAAUGCGUUAAUUAAAAAUUAGAAAUAUUGAACUUUGUUCAGUUUGAUAUCUUACUGUAGAGCUUGUACAUAAAUAUGGAGGCAUUACUUAGGAAGUCUCAUAUAUAUAAUUAGCUUAAUUAUUAUCAUAUUAUUAUAAUUAAUUGUAACAUAUUUUAUAAUUAUAUAUUUCAAUGUGUUAUAUAUAUAAUGUAAAACUAUGUGGUUACUUUCAAAAUGUAAACAAUUCCUACUUUAUUCAUUGCUAUUGCUUAUAUUUUUAGAUGCAUUAAUGACAAUAUCUAUAGAUAAGAAUUUUGCACUCGUUGUAAAGAUUAUUUAUAUCAAUUUGGUGUUAAUUCUUACGAUUUUUAACAUUUAAUCGUUCUUGUAUUUAGUUUAAAAAGAAAAAUCUGUUUUA
rnacentral:lncRNA from 1 species